AUGACAAAAAAAUUGCCGCUGCACUUGUUAAAGAAUGCUCAGAUAAUGCGAACCCAGGUAAACUUUAGCAAGGCUCUCCCGAGGCCUCGGCGACAUUUGGCUGACGACGUGGGAGAAGGAAGGGGCAGUAGUAUCUGGAACAUCUGCUGUCGCAAAGACCAAAGAGGUGAUACUGAGAUCUUUCAUCAAGAAGCAGAAUGGGAGGCUAAAUCAAACCAAGGGCAUAGAUGCAUUGGAACCACGUUUUUUAAGGAAUCAUUCUCCUGA
rnacentral:lncRNA from 1 species